GUGUCAGCAGCCGCGGUAAUACAGAGGGUGCGAGCGUUAAUCGGAGUUACUGGGCGUAAAGGGCGCGUAGGCGGUUAUUUAAGAUUGAUGUGAAAUCCCUGGGCUUAACCUAGGAACUGCAUUGAUUACUGGAUAGCUGGAGUACUGUAGAGGGUAGUGGAAUUUCCGGUGUAGCGGUGAAAUGCGUAGAGAUCGGAAGGAACACCAGUGGCGAAGGCGGCUACCUGGACAGAUACUGACGCUGAGGCGCGAGAGCGUGGGGAGCAAACAGGAUUAGAUACCCUCGUAGUCC
rnacentral:rRNA from 1 species